rnacentral:rRNA from 1 species
GACGAACGCUGGCGGCGUGCCUAACACAUGCAAGUUGAGCGGAGAUAUAUGGAGCUUGCUUUAUAUAUCUUAGCAGCGAACGGGUGAGUAACACGUAGAUAAUCUGUCCUAUACUGGGGGAUAGCCCGACGAAAGUUGGAUUAAUACCGCAUACAGCUAUUUAGCCGCAUGGUUAGAUAGUGAAAGAUUUAUUGAUAUAGGAGGAGUCUGCGGCACAUUAGCUAGUAGGUGAGGUAAGAGCUCACCUAGGCGACGAUGUGUAGCCGGUCUGAGAGGAUGAACGGCCACAAUGGAACUGAGACACGGUCCAUACUCCUACGGGUGGCAG